rnacentral:lncRNA from 1 species
UGUGUAGGACAAGUGCUGACAGCACAGCCACCAGCAGUGCCCAGCAAGGGGAUGCUGCAGCCAGGCUCUGUGACACUGCUGUCCCCAUGGGCAGCACCGCUUGGUGCAGGUAAGGAACCUUUAAUUGCUUUGUUAUACAGCAUGGUAAACACAGCUGUUUGACUGCUGGAGGGUUUGGGAAGAAGAACAAACUGCUGUUGCCCGUUGGCACCUGGGAGGCCCCUUCCAAAAUUACUGGGAGGCAUUGCCUGGGCAGGAGCAGAGCUUUGGCCUUGCAUUGCGUGUGCUGCUUGGGGUGUUUGUUCUGCAGCUCGUUGGGCACGAGCUGUGACCCCAUAACGAGCUGCUCGUGCUUUGCUGUGAGGAGCAGGGCUGGAUGGGGCUGCGGGGGGCACUGCAAAGCUCCUUCCUUGGCAGACAUCGUUUUCUCUGCGCAUUAUUCCAAAAUUAAUCUCAACUUAUUUACUUGUGCUCCCCUGACCUCCUCCAGUGUGUCAUUCUCCUUGUGUGCUGCCUGAGUGCUGUGUUUAAGCUGUCACAAUGCACAGGCUCUGCUGCGCUUUGGGCUUUAAUUUACUGUUGCUGUGAGUAAGAGCCAGUAAUAAAACCAGCACACAGAAAAUAUAACAAAUGUUUUCCUCCUCUGCAGAUGCUCCACGAGGCCGGACCAGCACCCACCGUGCUGAGAGCCCAGGCAAAGCACAGCCUGGCACACCAGUUCUCUCAGUGGGGAAGCAGAGAGCUGGAGAGCGUGGAAUUGGGGUUUUUAAGGUGUCUGCUAAACGUGACGUUACGGUGUGGCUCCUGGUGGUACCACAGCACAGAUUCCCAUCAGCAGUCUCUGCCAGAGGUGGCAAUCUUCCUUUCCCACAAGAGCACGGUAAUGCUGGCCGCACACCCACCCCAGCCUGGGGCAUGGAGCGCUGCCAAGCCGCCUCUCUGACUGCGGUCAGGGCAUCGAGGGGAAAAGGUGAUAUUAGCAAUUAGAAUAAAAGCAUUUGCAUGUAUAUAAAAGAAGAAAAGGAAAGCUAAACCAAAGCGCUACUAAUACGCAUCUUGGUUAUAGAAGCGACGAUACCAUAAGUCUAUUUAAUUUCUGUCUCAGGAUUGGUCCUGGGGACAUCACCCCCGCAGGAGCAGCCCUGGGCGCACACCUGGGGCGUGAGCGUUACUCAGAGCUCACACGUGCUGCUGUCACAGGUAAUUGGCUCAGCCUCCAUCACUGUCCUCCGCUGCAGCUGGAGCCAGCAGGGGCGGCUCUUAAUUAAAUCUGGCACCAUCAGGGGGUGAAGGACGGGAACGCAGUGCAUCACGAAGCGGACAGGCCUCCAGCUCUGGAAACGCCAUCGGGGUUGUCAGCAAGGAGCAAUGGUUCUCUCUGACACAGCCUCAAUAGAGAAACGUGCUGUGCUGAGCCUGAGCUCCCCAGGACAGCGCUGAGCUGAAGGCAGCACCCACCAGGUGCGAGUGCUGAGGAAGCUCCUGGAAAUAGCUGGCUUUGGAAACCUCGUCCUUAGCUGUGCCAUCUGCCCCGGGGAUGGGCUCAGCAGCUCCAGCGGUCCAUGCUGUCCUUGCAGGGAUGAGCACAGCCCCAAAGUAUAGCGACUGAAGCAGUGCAUAAUUCAGGAUCGUAAAACACUUCCAAGUGUGCAUUAAUUAUAAAUAUAUUGUAAAUGACAGUUUUUUUCCUCGAAGAAGGCACAUUAGAUGUGAUGCAUGGCCCCAGAGGAGUGUGUCAAAUGAGGCUGGUGCCCGCCUGGAGCAGCCUGACCUGCCUGUGUAUGCCCAGGCACGAUGCGAUGAGCUCCAUGCAGUGCCCAUAGUGGUGGGCAGUUGGGAGUUACCAGAGAAGCUCUGCUUGCCCCCAGUGCCCACACCCCACUGUGCCUGGGGAGGAAGAGCGCAGUCAGCUGGCACUUCUACUUCAUCUUGGUCGUGUGUGCACCCAUCUCUUUGUAGAUGCAAAACUCAGUUUCCUCGUGGUGCCUCAGUGGACCAUCUCUGCUCUUUGGGUGUGAACGCAGCAAGGCUGCAUGGCGCGUUGGCUCUCCCAUGCUCAGAUGUGAUGGUGAAGGCGCAAAAUGUGUGGCAGGAAAGAACUUCUGCUCUUGACUGAGGAUGUGGUCAGCUGUGGAGCUGAGCUGGGGGUUUAAGGCAACCCACCUGGGGAGCUGAGUCCAGGCUGUGCCACGCUGCUGGGCAGCUGCUGAUUGUGCACAGAAGGCAAGCCACUUUGGACUUCAACAUUUCUCCUGCGGGGCUCCAACGUCAGAACAAAGGCUUGUUGUUAUUUUGCCAAACUGAAGUACUGGGAUGUGGAUGGAGCAAAAACUGAGUAAUCACUGAAUCGUUGAGCUAUCAGUUACCAUCAGUGACAGCUCCUGGAGCUGUUUGGGAAUCCCAGCCGUGAGAAACCUCUAUUGCUUUGGGCCAAGUCCUGCUCCUCCAUGGCUGCUGAAUGAAUGGCCCCUGCCAGUGCUGAAGGACCCUGGAAGAAAAACGUGUCUCUGAUUAUUUACAAAUACACUGAAGAGCGCAGACUGAGACCCCUCUACAGAAUGGCAAUAGAUUUGAGGUGUUCCUUUCUCGAAGGAAAACCACUUUUUUUUUCUUUUUUACCCCCAGUAUUUCAGAUGUAUCCAAAGGCACACUAAUAUUCUUUCUAUCAUUUUGGCCGAGUGUCACUUCACAGUCUGUAACAACCCCAAACCCUUCCCAUUUGUUACCCUGCAGCUCCCAGACAUGGAAGCUGCCAUGCACAGUGAUUACCUGCUACAAUUAAGUAAUUGAAUUGUUUCAUCCUGGUUCCUCAUCCUGAGCACUUAAGAGAAUGCCACUUCAGCCCAGUGAAUUUGCAGUCUUUGGUUUGGCUAUUUUUUCCUCAGCCUCCUCAGCAGGUAGCUUGAAUGUAAGUCAAAUCCUGUGCCAUGUCCUUACACAGAGUUUUGGCACAGAUGCUUCUCAGAGCUUGUCCUCGCCGACUGUGGUUGCAAAACACCCACUUUGUUCUUUUCCUUGUUCCCACCUUAUCUCCUGUGAGAGCUCCUGUUGCACCAUGGCCAACUUCUGACUCUCCAGCAGGCUUCCUGUGCUUCAUGUGUUUGAAGAGGAUUUAUUAUUAUUUGCUUUUGCUUUUUCGCCAGUAGUUCAUGUAACUGUUUUUUUGCUUGCCUUAUUUCCAUUUUGUUUUUAAAUUUAAAUGGUCAGGAUACACAUUCUUUUGCUCAUUUAGACAAAAAUUACUUUUCUAAGCAUUAAAAGGCUGCAUCCUUAAUGUCUGAAGGUCAUUGGCCCUUCUCAUCUCAGCUUCAUCUUAGACCUAACAAGGCAUAGGACUCAGGAUCUCACACUAGGCUAAUACCUGUUUUUUGGUUUGCAAGGAUUCUGUGAUACCAGAUUUUUCCAGCAUGACACAUUUAUAUAGAUAAAAAUCAUCAGUGGCUAGGAUGGAUUUUGCCUGUCUCAGGUUUGGAGUAUUUCACCUUCACCAGUGGAAGGAGGAGAGCAUUUCUCUGACUAGAUAUGAUUGUUUUUGAAGCAGUUUUGGGGUGUGCUCCCCUAGCAUGGAGCAAGCUGGGCAGGGAGCCCCACCAGAGGAGGUUUGGGGCGCGGGCAGAGGGACUGAGAUGCUCCCUGCCUCCUCGGCCUGUUUGCCUACAUGCAUCUGGAAGGCCUGUUGCCAUGGAGAAGUGAUGGGGAACCGUCUGCCUGGCUCGCCUGACUCUUUUCCUAGCACGAAGUAAAGGCAUUUCGCCAGCUUUAAUGAGCUGUAGGCGCUUGGCACAGUGGCUGCAUCCCCAUCUUUGUCACACUGGGCUGCCUGAACCCCCAGAUUCCAGGAGAGAUCUGAAAGCAGAGAGGAAACCUGAAGUGCAGGUGGGGAAGGGAGCAGAGUGCAAGAUGGAAACUGCAAGGAGAUUAGGAGCCAGGGAGUGAUGGAGCAGGGCCCUCCACAGGGGUGCAUGAGCUCUGGUUAUGAAUUGCAACAAGGGAAAUUCUGAUCAGUCAUGGAAAAAACUCCUUCCCUGUGAGAGUGGCGUAGCCCCGAGAUGGACACUGGAGAGCUCCAAAGCCCAUCAUCCAGCCAAGCUCUGAGCAGUGCCUUGAAGUGAGCCCAGCGCUGAGGCUCACUGAGCGGUGGAUGAGGGCGUUUGAAAGAGCUCCCAGAGGAGCACACAUGGCAGAUAGUGGCCUGAAAGUGGGGUGAAGGUGGAGGCAUCCCUCUCUUCCAUUUUGGAACUGACAGUACUGAGCACUGCUUCACUCGCUGUAAUUGCAUGGUUCACAUUCACAACAGUGGUUUUUUCAAGGUGUUCCAUAAAAACAGAUGGAUUCCCUCUUACUUUCUGCUGGAGAAAUGCUUUGGUGUACAAAAAAUAAAAGUAAAAAAUUAGGGGGGUCGUUUAUGGCUGUUGGAUGUUUGAUGGGGAUCUCCUUCUGCGAGAAGAAAUCCAGUACGUUGGUGCUGGGUCUUGUUUUGGAUCUGAACAAUAUCACUGAUGGGAACUUCGGGGUGUUCCCAUGUGGAUCUGGGGGGUGACAUCAGGGUUAGAGUAGAAAGUUCUGUUGAUUUUCUUCUUUUUUUUUGUUUGCAUUUUUUUAGAACAGUGUUUUCUACUGCAGGCAAAAUCUUUAAAUAUUAUGAAAUAAAUGAGUAUUUUUUUUUUCCUGCAAUUAUUUGGUAAAAAGAAAAGUGGGGGUAAGGACAGUAAAAAGGCUUGGGCUGUGGCAGUGUGCGCACCUCCAGAUGGGCAUUUCUGUGUUCACAGUGGUGUUAAUAAGGCUGGGCACUGAGUUUCGCAAGCAGCUCUACCAUCCUCACCUCCAGCACUCAGGACUGAGGCAGACCUGCCCUAUCUGCUCUCUGAUAUUAGCACAUGGCAGCGAGACUACAGCAUUUAUCACCUCAUC